rnacentral:rRNA from 1 species
UCAAAACGACUCUCGCCAACGGAUAUCUCGGCUCUCGCAUCGAUGAAGAACGUAGCAAAACGCGAUAUUUGGUGUGAAUUGCAGAAUCCCGUGAACCAUCGAGUUUUUGAACGCAAGUUGCGCCCGAGGCCAUUAGGCCGAGGGCACGUCUGCAUGGGCGUCAC